AGUCACCAGGGACCAAGCAGGACUUCUGAGCAGGGGAGUGGCCCAGGCAGAUUGGUGCUUUUGCCCGAUAGCCAGGUCCUUUCUGUUUCUUCUGUUAGCUCUGGUACUCCACUCAGCCAGGGCCGCAUUUGCUGUCUCAUCUCCUGAGUAGUCACAGGGGCAUUUGACCCAGGCUGGUGCUGGAUUCUUGUUCCUGUCCCCACCUGUGGGAGAUGAAGUGUGAUGCAGGUGAGCAUCACCCAUUGCUGUCAGGACCUCCUGGCUCUUAACAGGGUGACAUACCCUCAUUUAUCUACCAUGGGCCCCAUGGGGUGCCAAAGACUGUGCUUGACCCUUUGAGAACAUUUUCUCAUUUAAUUCUCACAACAACCUUAAGAGGCGGUAGCUCCCCCCACACCCACCCACUUCAAAACAGACUAUUUUUCACAGUAGUUUUAGGUUCACAGCAAAUAUGAGCAGGAAGUGCAGGGUUCCUAUGGACUCCCCAGUCUCCCCUGCCCUAGCAUCCUCCACCAGAGAGGCCCCUUUGACAUAAUCAAUGAAACAACAUUGACACCUCAUUUUCUCCCAAAGUCCAUAGUUACAUGGUGGUUCACUCUGGGUGUUAGACACUUUACAGGAUUUAACACAUUUUAGUGCACAUUUAUCAGAGGUGAUCAGCAAGGCCCAGAGGGUUAUGCCAAGUUCACAUAGCAGGGAGUGGAGGGACCUGCCACAUGGCUUCCUACUGAGGACCCACCUUGAGGCUGGCACAAGUUGGCCACUGCAGUUGGCCUAAGCUGGGCAGAGCUGCCACCUUGGAGGGACCCACAGCAGGGCACAGAUGUUCCUUUUGCACUGCAUUCCCACAGCCUCAGUGAGGCUGACACUCACGGAGCUUUCUCCAGCACUGAUUGGCAGCAUGACACAGAAGCGUUUAUAGGAUUGAACAGGCUGGCACUUGAGACAUUCCUAGAGUAAUGCAGGAAAAUCCAUCAGACUUUGUGACACGGGUGGAUGACAAUUUCUGUUGGAAUGGGUCACUGGACCUUAUGAAUGCACCAUCUGGGCGGACCCCCUCAUGCUAUCUCCAGGUGUCUGGGAAGGCCUGGGUUUGGGAUCAGCAUCUCCACCUCAUCCUUGGGACACUUCUGGGCUCUCCUGGCCAAGCUCUGGCCUCCUGGGCUGUGACACACCAGCUCUCCCUGGCCUGCCAGGUCCCAGGGCAACAAAUGCUCUGCCCCUUUCAGGACUGGCCUGGCUCCCCCUGGGUAGAUAGCCAGGCCCAAAAGCUGGGUUUCUGUCUCACAGCCACAUGGGCCAGUGAAAAGAGACCGGCUCUGGAGUGUAUCCACACGACCUUGGCCAAGACCCUCAGUGUCCUUCUCUGAUGUUUGUGGUAUU
rnacentral:lncRNA from 1 species